rnacentral:rRNA from 1 species
AUGAGGAAGUCUGGAACAAAAGAGGGUAUCGAGGGAUCUAUUGGAUUUAAGCAUGGGAUUGAUGUGAACCCAUCUUCUGUUUCUACUCAAACAGGAGGAACGCGAUCUGAUUUGAUGAUUCGAGUGUGCAGUUGUACUAGAAGGUCCUCGUCACUUCAUAAUCCUAAUACCAGAAAUAUUAUGAUGACCUGCAAAAGCUGUGGUGGCAAAUCAACAGUGGACAGAGGUGGGCCAUCGUGUAGCAGCAACCUUAACACCAGCGGCUUGGAGCUCCCCAGACCUAUAGAUCCUGAGGUGAGAUGGAAGACUGUAAACAGAAGGCAAAGAGCUGCAAGGAGAGCAAGGACCUUUUCUGGAGGAGACAGAUUGAAGGAUGAAAUUAGAUCUUUCUAUGCAUGUGGCAAUCCCACGAGCCUAGAAGUGGCUCAAGAAGAGGAUUCAGCCUCUGAAUCUGAGAAGCUUGGGGUAUCUAUUCUUGGUCGGCGCUUUGGUGAUCCCAUGGAAAAUGUUCCAAUAAAAAAGAGAAGAGUUCAUAUGGAUUGUUCUCCAUCACCUCCAUCCACCCCACUGCUAGUGGAUCCUUAUGAAAAAAUACCGAGCAGAUCUGGUGGAGGCAUUUCAUCAUAUGGCAAGCACCGCAAGGUUAAAACACUAGGAGGCAAGCACAUGGAAGAAAAGAGAGGACCUCUUGAAGCUGCUGAUUUUUCCGGUAUAUCAAUACUGGCUGCUGCUGCCUGUGAAAGUGAGAUGGAUGUUGCUAAGUUAAAUGGUGAAUGCUCGAAGUCAGCCCGCUCUCUUGAUGAAAGAAAGCCAGAAAUUAUCUCUGGCAGUUCACUGUUGGAUCCUCUACAUGAAAUUAAGGGGGAUAAGCUAAAUAUCCCAGACAGGACCCUGAAAUUAUCUGAAACUGCUCCUGACAUGAGGCCUUUGUUUCCCACUACAUUAAAUAGCUCUGAGUCUGCUCCUGACAUGAAGCCCUUGUUCCCCACAACAUUAAAUGGUCCAGAGAAUCUUGUUGGAUCUGCAGCUGCUCUGGAGGGCAAAUCAGUAGGCUGCUUUGGAGAUACAGUUGUGCACACCAAGCAUUCCAAUGCGGCUCAUGAUUCUAGACUGCACUGGGAUCUUAACAUUGCGAUGGAGGCGUGGGACACCCAUUGUGGUGAUGAUGAUAAUCAUGAUAUGGUUGGUCCUGAUCCUGUAGCUUCUGUAAGUGAUUGUAAUGAUGCUCAAAAGGAGAUGAACAAAUCACAGGUGUGUCGGGAUCUUUCUCAGUCAACAGUUGCUGAGGUCAUACUUCGUCAUUCUGUUGAUAAAAUUCACGUGGCUGAUGCAGCGAAAGAUGGUAACACAAAGGGUGAAACUGAUUUCCCAGGUGAUGGUUCAUUUCAUCCUUUGUGCAGUCGGUCUCCCCUGAAAGUUCAGCUAUUGGAAUCCGAAUGUUUAGAUGGAAAUGAUUCCUCUGCCGAAACAAACAAUUUGCUUGAUCUGCAGAAGAGUAGUUAUGUUUCUAAUGUGGCAUUGCAUAUCGGAUCUAAUCCAGACUUGAGUUCUCUGUCUCUUACUAAGGAACAUUUCGCUUUUGCUGCAAAUGUGGAGAAACUUGACGUGUCACACACUUCACCCCUUGAUUGUGAAGGUUUGUCUCACUUGAUUUCUGAGGAUGCUCAUGCUGGAGGUAGUUCAAUUCAAACAAGUGUUCUGGGCUCCAGAGUGAAGCCUAUGACAAGCAGAUUAGUUUCUGAGGAAAGCACAAAUAUUGCAACAGUUUCCAGUAAAAGUUUUACUGACGCUGGGUGGAGCGAUGAUAAACUUGGGCAAGCUUCACUACAGAGCAUAUCUGAAUUUAAAAACCAUGAACUUUUGGAUGUUGAUUCAGGAACUAGUAAAAUUGAUCAGUCCGUCAAUGAGAAGGCUGAACAUGACACUGACGUAUUGUGCGUUGACAAGAAAGCUGCAGAUGCAGACAAUGAUUCAGACCUCCCUGAUUCUCAUCCAGAGGAUAACCUACACACUUCUGAUUGCGUCAUGUCCUAUGCGCAUAUAGAGGGUGGUGUGGAUGCAACAAUCGAUUACAGAAAUCGUUUACUUGCUUGUGCCAACGCUACCAGUGCAGAAACAUGUUACAUCACCAGUGAUAUUCAUGCUCAUGGUCUCAAUUCAGAGUGCACUAAACAAGCAGAUACUGACAUGGACAAUAUUGUGGAUUCAAAAUCUAGAGCACAAAGCCAACCAAGUGGUUACAAACAUGAUCUUCAGAAGGUCACAUCAAAUAAUUGCCUUGAACACUGCUAUCGGACAGACACGUCUCGUUUUAGCAAAGAUCUUUCUGUGACCGGAAAAGUUGACGUCGAGGAAGAUGAUUCUCAGUAUGAGGAUGGGGAACUUAGGGAAUCUGGUGACCGUUAUUGGGCCGAUGACAUUUAUGAAGAAGUUAAAUGUGCUAAUUAUCAGGUAUCAGAUUACAAGGAUGAAAAAGCUGCCCCAGACAUUCAUCAUGUACCUGUUGGCUCUGUUUCAAACAAUAUGGUUAUGCCAGUUGCUAAUUACAAUGGAACAUUAUCCAGGAAGGAAGAUUGUGAUGUUUCACCCGUCUCAUCGAAGCGCUCAUGGUCAAGUAACUGCUUGGAUGGUGGAUCUGGAAUGAUGUGUGCUGCAAGUGCUCGGAGCAUUCAUGUGAAUAUGAAAAAUGAGACUCGAAUGUAUGACAACCUAGACCUUACAAUAGCUCGAUCUGCUGGGACCGUUAGCCAGUCUGAAAGGGGUGGUGAUGGUUUAGGUGAGGAUCCAUUGAAUAUCAGAUCAAAGCCCGUGGGAUGGGAUAUGUUGCCUGAAGAUCAGAGGCACUCUCGAGAUUCAAGAGACAGAGUUGAUUCUUCUAACCUGUGUGUUUUAGGUACAUUAGAGGCAGCUGAAGCCUGUGAAUCAUUUCGACCAAUGGGAUUACCAAAUAGAGACGUGCAAUCACGACUUGAUCGGCCUAGAUCAUUUGACAGACCCCACAGAAAUGAGCACUGCAGAUCUGAUGAUGGCUAUGGUUCUGGCUCAAAAGCUGAAAGGUCUGUUGAUAGGCCACAUGGCAGGGGCGGAGCAUCUCGGCAUAUUCAAGCAAACAUCCGAGGGGAGCAGUGGGCUGAAAAUUCAAAUAGUUCUCGUUCUUCCCAGCGAAGAUCACCUGAUUAUAAUAAUUAUGGCCCAGCUGGUCCAAGAAAUGCUGCUGAAGCUGCUGUUGCAAAGAUGGAGAGCAGUGGCUUUGUUGUUGCAGCUGAUGGCACUUUGGUAAGAGCUGUUGAUGCAGCAAAUACAAGUACCAUGUCCAGAAGGAUGAGAAACAAAAGUAGCUUCUACCACCCUUUGUCUAGACGGUGUUCCCCAGUUGACAGAGAUGGAAGUCGUGGGUUGUCCAGAGAACCUGCACAUGCUAGGGAAGCACCUCCAGAACGAUGCUUUGGUGCUAGUGGCAACCGGUCUGGUCGAUAUGGUCCUCAGAUGGAUAAAGAUCAUGCCAUUGAUGAAAAUUUGAGUUCAGUUCAUAGCUCACUGUCUAAUAGACAACGGAGGUUCCCAGCGCAUAGAGCCUCACUCGACCUGUCACGUGCUCACAGCAGAUCUCCUUCAGGAUCUAGAUCUCGAUCACCACAUGCUUGGACAUCCAACGGAGGCUCAAGUAUACGGAGGCAUAGUAGAUCUCCUAAUUACAUGACUGAAGUUAGAAUUGGUAGAAUGACUUCACCUCAAAGACAACAUCGAUUCAAUGAUCGAGUUAUGCGUGGUAGUCCAUCAAGAAAUUCCACUUACUCUCAACAUGAUUCAACAUGGGUUGAAGGAAGGAGCUGCUCAACACUAGAUAUUUCUUAUCACAAGAAACGGUAUUCUCGGAGGAGCCCACCUCUGAGAACCACCUCAAGAAAUGACAUGUUCGAUUUAAUGGAUUCCCAAGGACGGUCAGGAUCUCGAGAAUUCCACCGCCCAACACGUGACUUCAAAAGGGGAAAUAAGCAUGAUGGGAAUGGUGAUGAUAAAAGAUGUAAUGAUAGAUAUGGAACUGUCAAACCAUAUGAACAUAAUGGUGCUGUGAAGCAGUUCAGGAAUCAUGCUGGAGAUAAACUUCAUCCACACACUUCUGCACCCAGAUCACCUGAACCGCAAAGAGGAAGCCCUCGGCGAUUUUGA